GGUCUAGCCCAUCGACGAUGACGGCUCCUCCUCAUGCUCAUCAGACUCGUGCACAAGUGCUCUGCAAGUCUGCAUUGGGAAGCAGAUACAGUUUUUCUUGGUGGGCGUGGUUUUGGAACAGCCAUGUCUUCUCUAAUUUUGACAGUGCUUGAGUUUAGAGUAUGGUUAUACUUUUGCUUAGGCAGGGUAAUUCUUUUCUUACUGGUGCUCCUGAUUAUGAAGAUGGUCAACUAGACACUAAGAGAUAUGGUGAGCAAUAUGCUAGCAAAGGGGAAGAUGUUGACCUCAUGUUGCUCCCUGAGCAGAUACUUUCCUAUAGAGAUCCAGUAAGCUUGUGCUUCUUUUGCAGUAAAAAAAAAUUCUAUCCAUUAGUGAAAUUUUGAAACAGGCCACUGUGGUGCUGUUGCUGUUCAAGCAGGAGUAUGUGUACACAUAUUUGCAGGCUAUCCUGAGAUUGACUUACAGUUAAUUUCUAUCCUUAGAUUGACUGAACUUCAGUACAUUACUUCUGUUCUGACUUGAAGAUGUCCUCGAAUGCCAAAUUUCUCUGCAGACUUUGAACCCCUUUCAUUUUCUUCCAUGUAAAGUUUUUUUUAAAUGGCAGUGGAUGUUGAGUAAUCUAUGCUAGCAAUGUGAUGUUAGAGAAAGGCGUAUUUCUAGACCUGCUUGUAAAUUACUCCACACAAACAAGUGCAUUUUUCUAGACCUGCUUGUAAAUUACUCCACACAAACAAGCAAAUUCAGUAGACAUUUUUACAAGAAUUCAGUAGAUUUCUUCCCAUGGUUGCUAUUUGUUUCUCUUGACCCCUGGUAAUUACUCUUGGCCCCUGGUACUCCAAGAAGACUAUGCAGUUAUCCUAGACUAUUGCAAUCAUCCUUUCAGGUAGCAAUAGCCUUUUUUGAUUUAAAAGCCUGGCUACCAUGGUCCUUGGGUAUAUUUCAUUCUGUGUGCUAACUAGAGAAGACAUGGCAUGCAUGCAUGCACAUAGGCUGUACUUGUUGAACAGGGGAUUUUUUUACCUGGAAAUAUUGGUUUACUCUAAUCCACCCAAACUCAGUCUUCAUUUUACUGAAUUUAGAUUAGAUGUUGCCUUGUUUCUACCGGGAGAAGAUGUUGGUUUAUUCUUUAUUUUGAUUGUUGUGGUUGCUCGACAAGUUGCCUCUCAGAUUAUUGCUCUCAGUGCAAACUGGAGUAGAUUAAUUAAUUUGGAGUAUGUGGUCUGUGAUGGGCUCAACUCUUCCUCCUGAUGCUGUAAAACAAUCUUGUUCCACUGGAUGGAUGGAGCAUCUUUUUUCAUCUGAAAGACACCCCACAUUUCUGAAGAUAGAUACACCUACAGUUUCAGCAGUGAAGUAGUACCACACUCUGAUCUGAUCUGUUUCCAAUUGUAAUAAAAGUUGGUUAUUUACUUAUCAGCUGAGUACAAGUAGUGGAGAUUGACUGGUUGUUUCCUUGUGCAAGGUUCACAGCAAAAAACUGGUGUUGAAUUCGCCGCCGGCUCCGAGACCUCGACCGGACGGACGGAAGGCGGAUUGAAAUCGUUGCUAUGGCGCUGUAUAUUAUAUGCAGUCCCACGUUUUCCUCUUCCUUUAUUUAGCUCUGGCGGCAGCACGGGCAGACGAGCAGCAGCAGUACGGGUAGACGAGCAGCAGCAGUACGGGUAGAUGAGCAGCAGCUGUACAGGCAAAGGAGCUCCACCGGCGGCAGGGGACAAGCAGCCACACGGGCGCGCGGGCAGGGGAGAAGGAGCAGCACGAUCUUGCGCGGGAGAUUGAGGAAGACGCGCGGGAGAUCGAGGAUCACACGCACGAGCUCCCAUUCCACUGGAUCGUGGAGGCAGGCUCCGGCGACGCCGGUAGGGGAUCGCGGCGGCGCACGCGUGGGAGCUCCAGCAGGAUGCGCGGGAGCACGAUGGAGGACGCACGCGAGCUUGAGGAAGAUGCGCGGGGGUUCCAGGAGGGACGCGCGCGGCAGGAGAUUCCGGCGAAGCCCACAGGCAGCGGGAGGGACCGCGGCGGUGCAGGUCUGGGCUGCGGCGGCGGAGGAGGUAAUUGGCGACGACAGCGAGAGCAGGUACUUGGUGAAGGUGAGAGCAGGUACUUGGCUACGGCGGAGGAGCUCAGCUGGGCUCGCCGGCCCCUGGCGAAUCACGCA